CAAUUUUUUUUUUUUUUUAUCUCUAUGAAAAUCUAUAUAUAGGAGCCUUGCAUAUUCAUCAGCCACCUCCCACCACCCCAAACCGACCCACUAAAGCCUAAAGCCACAGUGGGUGAUGUGAGUCUUGUAUGGUGGGGGAGGCAAUAAUGCUAAUAGAAAUGACUAACCAUCAGCUUGAAGUAGCUCAUCAUAUAUGCUAUAG
rnacentral:misc_RNA from 1 species